rnacentral:lncRNA from 1 species
GUCACCGUGCCCAGGUAAUUUUUGUAGUUUUAGUAGAGACGGGAUUUCGCCAUGUUGAUCAGGCUGGUCUUGAACUCCUGACCUCAGGUCGUCUACCCACCUCGGCCUCCUAAAGUGCUGGGAUUACGGGUGUGAGCCAUCGCAUUCGGCCUUGUCUCUAUUUAAAUAAAUAAAUAACUGCCCAGCUCCACUUCCAAUUUAUUUCUUCCACUGCAACCUUGAUGCUCCCUUCAAGUCUUGCCCUGGAGAGGAAUCUCACACAGGGGAAGGGCUGCUCUGAUGUGCUGGAGAGCAGAUGGACAGCGGUAGAUAAUAUGGGGCCCUGGCUCCUGUGGACAGAGAACACACUUAGCACAGGACUAACAUUUGCAGGCUCUAGGGCAGAAAUACAAAUGUCGGCUCCCAUGCUCUGAGGGUCAACAUUGAAAAACUAUACGUAAAACUUUUGAAUAAGACAGUCUAUCUUCCUUCCUUUAUAAAUAUGGGGUUUCACAAUGUUGGCCAGACUGGUCUCGAACUCCUGACCUCGGGUGACCCAUCCUGUCCUCCCAAAGUGUUGGGAUUACAGGCGUGAGCCACCAUGCCCAACCUAGACAGAUUGUUUUAUAAGGGUUUAGAAAGAAAGGAAACUACAUGAAUGAGUACUUAGUCUCCUGCUCCUUGAAGUGGAUGAAUUGUUUUCUUUGGUUUCCAACACAGUCUGUUAAGAGUUGUAGCACGCCCCAAGAGUAUGUGCAUGUAGUGGAGCUGGGAUGGGGAGGAUUCCCAAGGGAAUCUUUAGCUGUCACCCAUGAACCAUGCAGAGUGGAGAAGGACACUCAGCCUUUCUGUGGCUCUCACCUGCAUGAUUAUUCUGGUGGCUGCAAAGGGCGAUAGGCAGUAGGAGGAGACACCCCGUGACACCAAGAGCUGUGUCCAGACAUGAUCGUCUUGGCACAGCUUGAGGGUUUUCUACAGAAACUGGUAGAGAUGCUAGACAGACACAAGAUGCCAGCCAGCCUCCUUUGCGAUUGGCUCUUAGAGGUGGAAAAUGGUAAAGUCAUCAGGCUCAUUCUCCCUAGGACUAGAGGAACAUGUUAAUUAUAUUAAAGUAGAUUAGUGGGCCGGGUGUGGUGGCUCACGCUUGUAAUCCCAGCACUUUGGGAG